rnacentral:lncRNA from 1 species
GUUCAAAUCCGGCUAAUACUGCUCUUGUGAGUGAAAAAAGAAAUCAGUUAAAACAAAAACAGCAGGCAUGGGAGAGUAAACACUCAACAGAUGUGUCAAACUGAAGGCAGCUUUUACGGAGGGGAAGGUAGAAGCUGCUAAACAAUGUCCCCAUAAUACAUUUUUUUAACUGCCUAAAGGACUCAUUGGCACACGAAGCACUGGUGUGAUCACUAUCAAAGGGGAGGAUUUUUCUUGCCUUUAUGAUUCCGGAUCCCAAGUAACCACAAUCCCUCAUUCUUUCUAUAAUGCAUAUUUGUCCGACCACAAGAUAAAGCCCCUAAAUGACAUUCUGGAGAUUGAAGGAGCCAAUGGGCAGAUGGUGCCAUAUUUAGGAUACAUUGAGCUCAACAUUACAUUUCCAGCUGAUUUCCUUGGAGAAUCCCUUAAUGUCCAAACUCUGGCAUUAGUAGUUCCCGAUGUGAAAACUCAAUCCAUGGUUUUGAUUGGCACAAAUUCUCUUGACACCGUUUAUGCCAAAUAUAGUGAAAACCAAACUUCUGAUUUUCAACCUGUUCUAUCUGGCUAUAAAGCAGUAUUAAAGAUCCUUCAACUCAGACACAAACAAAGAAGUAGCGACCAUCACAGUGUGCUCAAGAGUGAAUGCCAGCCUUUGACCAUCCCUGCUGGGCAAACCAUUGUUGUGGAGGGGUUGGUGAUUGCUCCUUUUCUGGCGGGUGAGAAAAUGGUGUUAAUUGAACACCCAUCUUCAUUUUCGCUGCCCGGUGGGUUGCUUGUUAAAUCAUGCCUUGUGGAUUUUCCUCGAAACCAUCCGUGUCAUCUGCCUGUUGUAAUAACAAAUGAAUCCGACCAUGUUGUGGUGAUUCCCCCAAAAGUUGCCAUUGCCGAAAUAAGUGCCGUGCAAACUAUCCUUUCCAAAGAACAGACUGCAUGCUCUUCUCCAUCCACUGAUAACAAGUUAAAGUACAACUUUGGAGUGUCCCCUAUUUCUCCUGAAUGGAAGCAGCGUAUCACAAGUAUGCUAGACAGUAUCCCUGAGGUUUUUGCAAAAAAUGAUCUAGAUUUUGGAUGUACUGACAAAGUUAAACAUCAAAUCAAACUAACAGAUCCAACAGCAUUCAAGCAGAGACCACGUC